rnacentral:lncRNA from 1 species
CCUUACCUACUAAAAGAAAGUUGUGAGAAAGAGAUGAGUUGCUGAGCAAGCAUCAGCAUGGUGCAAGUUUAUUAAUCAUGUCAGAAUCCCAAACCAUAAUUCACAUUUUAGCAGAGCAUGAUGCAAGGUACAUGAUAAAAAAAUUUAUUACAUUACCAUGUUUAGUAACCAGCAAAUAUUGAACAAACCUACUAUUUGAACUCAAUUGACUACGCAGAAAUUAGUACAGAGUGCAAAAUGGUUCCUUUGGCAGCAAGAUUAAAUUGUACUUGUCAUUUUAUUCGAAAUGCCUUACAUCUUAAUGCUUUUAAGUUUUAACAGCCUAUCCCAAUUCUAGUUUGUUUAAAAAUGAUGUCGAAACCACAGGGGGCGCCGAUUUGGUUGAAUUUGUAUCAAACAACAAACAUGCUUCCCGUGAACACGAGUCGCAAAGCAAUUAGAUUCGGUGCCCAUAAUGCCAAAUAUUGUAGCUAUCCAGAGAGAUGGGGUUUUGAGGCUAUGUUGAGUUCAGAAUAAAUUUGUUGAUGAUGGCCAAACUUGUCAAAUCAAAGCAGGCAUAAUCAUAGAAAUUUAUUCACUCUGAGAUUGUAAAAUGCUCAGCAUACUUCACGAGCUUGAAUUAGGCCCAUCACAAUGUAUGAAGAGAGAAUAUUUCUCACCAUUGGUUACUGCAAAGGAGGCAGCAUUGGGUCAGGUAAAGUUUCUGAAAAGAAGGGUUUCUCAUCUGGACUUUUACAUCGCCCCACAUAAUUUAAGAGGAGAGAACUUAAAAUUUAUGAAAUCAUGAUUUUGUUAGAGUGUUUUCCUUUUUUCUCUCUUGAAACCGUACCUGAGGAUGGAGCCUUUCGGUUUCUUUUACAAUGAACUCGACUAAAGAACCAUGGAAACCGUCCAUGCAUAGAAAAUCAUGGUUGUAUGAGUUUGCGUUGUAAGCAUACUGUGCUCUGAGCAAAAGGUUGAAAAUUAUACCGUCUUCUUGCAAAAUUAAAGAAUUCCUUAUCACAUAAAGAGUCAAGGUCUGUCUGCUAUCCACCCUUGUUUGAGCAUAUCUACAUGGAAAGGGAGAAAUAAUGUCAGAUAUUGCUGUUCAAACAAGAGUAUAAAUCACCCAUGCCAGCAAAAAGCUCCCCCAUACAGAAGGAAUUAUAGCUAGUUAAAUAUGAUAAUUGGUAAGUCCUGGCUCUCUCACAAAUUUAUCAUGUUAAACUCCAAGGUAUGUACUUUCAUGCAACUAAUCAAUGCUUUAGUAGUUUUACACAGUCGUACCUGAGCUUCCAGAGAAGUUAAAAAAGGAAUAACCACAAAGUCUAUCCCAAGGAAUAUCAGGAGUUCCAUCUCUUCAUAUGUCAGACCCUCACGUAUCACCGCGUUGAAUGUGCACAACAAGGGUAUAGCGAAGUGCUCCAUUAACAAGAUUUUACGGUCACAAUUAAGGUAAUGCAGAGCAGAAUAAAGAUGCAUUUUUCUGGAAAUGUUCCUAACUUUCUUAAGCUAAUUAAGUCAUGAAUAGAUGGGAAACUCUGCUAGAAAUCCCUCCAAGUAGUUACAGUGAAAUUG